rnacentral:rRNA from 1 species
AUGCUCCGCCGUCUUCAGCGCGUUGGGGCGCAAGUGCUGGCCGCCCUCUGGCCCGGCAAGGUGGUUCCCCGUACCCCCAGUCGGACUGCCGACUGGCUGGAGGUAGCGGUUGGCCGCUUCGAGGCCUGGAAGGCUUCAGCAGCUCGGUCAGGCGCCAGGCGGGCGCUGGAGUUCGUCCGAGCUUGGUAUGCUGGGCUGGAUUUGGCCCAGCUGACCACCUGGCGGCAGGAGGCCAACGAGGAGCUGGAGGCGGUGCGGCCGGCUAUCAUCCAGCGCGCCUCGGCGAUCGCCGACUACACCGACACCAGUGCCUUUGCCCCUGAGGUGAAUGAUGACAGCGUUGCUCAGCCGGAGGAGUGGUUUGGGCUGAACCCAGCGGAUGGUGAAGACUCGGUGGAGGAGAUCGACUCCAGUGACGAGGGCGAAGAGGAGGAGGGAGGAUGGUGA